rnacentral:rRNA from 1 species
AUUGAACGCUGGCGGAAUGCUUUACACAUGCAAGUCGAACGAUGAAGCCUAGCUUGCUAGGUCGAUUAGUGGCGAACGGGUGAGUAAUAUAUCGGAACGUAUCCAAUAAUGGGGGAUAACUAGUCGAAAGAUUGGCUAAUACCGCAUACGUCCUACGGGAGAAAGCUAGGGAUCUUCGGACCUGGCGUUAAUGGAGCGGCCGAUAUCUGAUUAGCUAGUUGGUGAGGUAAAGGCUCACCAAGGCGACGAUCAGUAGCUGGUCUGAGAGGACGACCAGCCACACUGGAACUGAGACACGGUCCAGACUCCUACGGGAGGCAGCAGUGGGGAAUUUUGGACAAUGGGCGCAAGCCUGAUCCAGCCAUUCCGCGUGAGUGAAGAAGGCCUUCGGGUUGUAAAGCUCUUUCGCAAGGGAAGAAAACUUAGCCUCUAACAUAGGUUGAGGUUGACGGUACCUUGAUAAGAAGCACCGGCUAACUACGUGCCAGCCGCCGCCGUAAUAC